rnacentral:rRNA from 1 species
AUUGAACGCUGGCGGCAGGCUUAACACAUGCAAGUCGAGCGGGGUGAUGGUGCUUGCACUAUCACUUAGCGGCGGACGGGUGAGUAAUGCUUAGGAAUCUGCCUAUUAGUGGGGGACAACAUCUCGAAAGGGAUGCUAAUACCGCAUACGUCCUACGAGAGAAAGCAGGGGAUCACUUGUGACCUUGCGCUAAUAGAUGAGCCUAAGUCGGAUUAGCUAGUUGGUGGGGUAAAGGCCUACCAAGGCGACGAUCUGUAGCGGGUCUGAGAGGAUGAUCCGCCACACUGGGACUGAGACACGGCCCAGACUCCUACGGGAGGCAGCAGUGGGGAAUAUUGGACAAUGGGGGGAACCCUGAUCCAGCCAUGCCGCGUGUGUGAAGAAGGCCUUAUGGUUGUAAAGCACUUUAAGCGAGGAGGAGGCUCUUUUGGUUAAUACCCAAGAUGAGUGGACGUUACUCGCAGAUUAAGCACCGGCUAACUCUGUGCCAGCCGCCGCAGUAA